AUGAGCGCGAAGGAUGAUGCACCUGAUGGCAGGAGCAGCCCCCUCCGCCGGCUCCUCGGCUGCUUCGCCCAGCGCCUUGCUUACCCGUGCAUACUAGUAUGCCAUGCAGAGGGAUGGAGAGAAUCUGUUGCUGGUGGAGACGAAAACGUUAUUGAAAAUGCUCAACCGCUACAUACAGGAACAGGUCAAGACAAACAAACAGGGUCAACUUACUCAGUGAGGUCCUACCUAUUCAGUUUCCUUUUGAGGAGAAUUUUCAGGGACGGAACUAGAGUUUCAUCUUUUCAUGUGUGAAAGGUGCUAACCAUCGAUGCAUCUUUAUGUCUCUGCUUCCCACUUCUUAAAGGUUUAUCCUUAAACGAAACUUGACGGAUUGAAAUCUUAUAUGUGAUUGAAGUCACGUGUAGUAGACAGCCCUUCUUUUAACCAGCUAAAGAUUUUGUAUUUUUCCAAGGUUCCAGAAGGGGCGUUCUUCAGCCUAUUUUAAAACUGAUUUAUUGUGGCUUGGCUUGAAGUUGCUUGUGAUGAGGGGCAAGCAGAAAUUCUCUAAAUGUAUAAAUAUCCAAAUGUAUGGUACAGCAUGAAGUACCCACUUGUGCUGCUUAAAAACAAGAGUGUCUUACCGAAAAUUAAAGCUACAACGAAUGCUUGUUUUUAAGUGAUCAACCAUUACUUUUGGUAUUACAAGCAUGUGUAUAUAGAUCCCUUAUAGCUUACUGUCAUGUAAUGCUUUAUAAAUGAUACUUAAUAAACAAC
rnacentral:lncRNA from 1 species